rnacentral:rRNA from 1 species
CAUAAGUAUAUAAAGAAACUAUUAUGGAAUUUAAGCUAUGUAUUAAAGAGAAUUAUUUAUAGAAUAGAGACUUGAUAUCCUAUUGUAUAUAAACUCUAAGAGAAAUCUAAUACUAAACGGAGUGAAUUGAAAUAUCUUAGUAACUUCAGGAAAAGAAAUCAAAAGAGAUUCUAUGUAUAGCGUGAGCGAAAAUAGAGCAGCCUAAAAAGUAAAACGGUACUAAAACUGUUUAAACGUGAUGGGGAACCUUCCUCAAAGGCUAAAUAUAAUACAUAAGCGAUAGUGAAAAGUACCAUGAGGGAACAAAACAAAAAUAGUAGUUUUAUAAGCAGUUCGAUAAAAGAACGUACCUUUUGCAUAAUGGGUCACCAAGUUAACAUUAGAUGCGAGUUCACGCGUAGUUAAACCGAACGUUAAAAUAACGAAAUAGUGUCUAAAGUUAGACCCGAAGCACGGUGAUUUUACCAUGGUCAGGAUUAUAAAAGUCCGAACGGGUGAUUGUAGCAAAAAUCUCCGAAGAACUGUGGUAGGUGUAGUGAAAGACAACACUGACUGUGAUAGCUGGUUUUCUGCGAAACCUAUAAUAGUAGGCAAUUUAAGUUAAUAUCUUAGCAGGUACAGAAUUUAAUCUCAGACAAGAUGCAUAUGCAUUUUAUAUUGUACAAAUUGGGGAAUCGUAAAGAUUUUAUCAGUGAGUAUGUAGACUCGGAAUGGCAAAGAUAUGUCUUAAAUUAUCAGACAUAGAAUGAUAAGGUUGUAUGUCGAAAGGGAAACAGCCCAGAACAAGAGUUAAGGUUCCUAAAUUAUUAGUUGAGUGAAAUUAAGAAAGUUUUUGUUAAAGUCGACAAGGAGAUGGGCUUAGAAGCAGCCAUGAUUUUAUGACCUCGUAACAGAGCGCUUGUUAAGUUAUAAAAGCAUCGAAAAUUUAACGGAUCUAAACAAUAUACCGAAACCUUGUCCAUAAUAUAUUGUAUUAAUAAGUUUUAAUAUAAUUAAAUGGGGUAGCAGAACGUUGAGCUAUAUUACGAUUUUUAUUUUUUAAAUAGAAUAAUAAUAAUUUAACUCAAGUGAGAAUGGUGACAUGAGUAACUAAAAGAAAAUUUUCCGCCUUAAGCUUAUGGAUAUAAUUAAGUAACGGCCUCUAAGUUUAUAUUAUCUAAAGAUUUAAACGAUGAGAAAAUCUUUUUUACUAAGGACAACAUUUUAGUGUAAAAUGUGCUGGAAAAAUAGUAAAUAUAUUUAUAAGCGUAAACUUAUAAACGAAAAAUAACCGUACCUAGAAUCUGAAACAAGUAAGCUAGUAGAGAAUACGAAGGCGUAAAUGAGCUAACAAUCAUAAAGGAACUCGGCAAAUUGACUACCGUAACUUCGGAAUAAGGAGGGCUCAUUAUUCCUGAUCAAUAUCAGGUAAAAAGGAAGAAGCAUAAAAUAAUGUUGUACGACUGUUUAAUUAAAACACAGCACUUUGCUGAAAGAUUAAAAAUCUAAGUAUAAAGUGUGAUAUCUGCCCAGUGCCGGCUGGUUAACAGAGAUAAUUGAAUAUACUACUAUUUGAUGUCGACGGAAACCCCGGUUAAAGGCGGCCUUAACGUGAGGGUCCUAAGGUAGCGAAAUGCCUUGGCCGUUAAAUGCGGUCUUGCAUGAAUGGUGUAACGAUACAACAGCUGUCUCUAUGAUUGACUCAGUGAAAUUGGAAUAGCUGUGCAGAUACAGCUUACCUCUAGUUAGACGAGAAGACCCUAUGCAGCUUUACUGUCACUAAUUAUAGAGUAUGAUAGACAAUUUUCAGAUUAUAAGGUAAUUGACAAUAUGGCAAUGAGAAUCCUUUAUUUUUCUUUCAUAUGAAUGAAUUGGUUUAGGAUCAUGAGUAAAUUAUAAUUAAUGCAGCUUUACUGAGCUAUUUUUAUACAUUAAUUAUAAUAAUUAUAAAGCUCAUUUUAGUAAAUCAGCCUAAUUCUAUUUAUUAUUUUAUAAUAAGUACCCUUUGGCAAGGAACUAUCGCUAGGGGACAGUUUAUGUGGGGCACAGACCCUGUAAAGAGUAAACAGGAGUGUCUAAAAUUUUAUAAUUAUUUGUUUGCUAUUUUAAAUAGUUUAACUAUUUUUAAUCAUAUACAAUUAUUUAUAUUUGCACUAUUGUAAAUAUAUUUAAGUUUAGGUAGGAUUUUUACUAUAUAGAAAUUAGAGAUAAUUGAAAAUAUUAUGAAGUUUUCUAAUAUUUUCUAGCUAUUAUAACAUUAGUUUUAAUAGUUAUGUAUUUAAUAUCUAAAAAGCUCAACGGCUAAAUCCUGCCUUACUGUUUGAUUAUCUACAAAUCUUACAGUUGCGUAAGCAGGGCAUAGGAUCACAAGAUGCAAUAAGGAAAGAUCUUGGAUUAUUGGAAAAGCUACGCUAGGGAUGUUUGUCCUUUAAUAUUUUAUUUGUAAAAUAAAAGAAUUAAUAUAUAUUGGGUAAACUUCAAGAAUUACUAAUAAUAGUAAACAGGCUAAUUUGCGCAAGAGUGUACAAAAUGAGUGCGCGGUUUGGCACCUCGAUGUCGGCUUAACUUAUCCUCAUGGACGCAGGAACUAUGUAGGGUGCGACUGUUCGUCGAUUAAAAAGUUACAUGAGCUGGGUUAAAUACGUCGUGAGACAGUAUGGUUUCUAUCUUCUAGGGGAAAUUAGAAUAAAAUAAGAACGAAUUUUUGUACGCAAGGAACAAGAAGAAUUUGACUUAAAAGUUAAAUUAUGGUUACUAACCUAUGGUUUACCUGUUGUUUAUGUGCCCAAUAUAAAAUAUAUAUAUUUUAUAUGUAUUUUAUGGGAUGUUUCUUUCACUAAGAUAAAUGUAUAGCAUAAGCACGGCAGGAAGGCUAAGUUGAUUAAGGAUAAGUGCUGAAAGCAUAUAGGCACGAAGCUUAUCUUAAGAUAUUUCUUAAAUAUACGUAAUAUAAUAUUACGAAAUUAUAGGCUUUAUCCGUACGAAUCUAGAGAUUUUCAAGAAUAAAGUACUAAUUUAAUAAUUUACUAUGUAAAAAUAUAUCAA